GAUGAACGCUGGCGGCGUGCCUAAUACAUGCAAGUCGAGCGAACAGACGAGGAGCUUGCUCCUCUGACGUUAGCGGCGGACGGGUGAGUAACACGUGGAUAACCUACCUAUAAGACUGGGAUAACUUCGGAAAACCGGAGCUAAUACCGGAUAAUAUAUUGAACCGCAUGGUUCAAUAGUGAAAGACGGUUUUGCUGUCACUUAUAGAUGGAUCCGCGCCGCAUUAGCUAGUUGGUAAGGUAACGGCUUACCAAGGCAACGAUGCGUAGCCGACCUGAGAGGGUGAUCGGCCACACUGGAACUGAGACACGGUCCAGACUCCUACGGGAGGCAGCAGUAGGGAAUCUUCCGCAAUGGGCGAAAGCCUGACGGGGCAACGCCGCGUGAGUGAUGAAGGUCUUCGGAUCGUAAAACUCUGUUAUUAGGGAAGAACAAAUGUGUAAGUAACUAUGCACGUCUUGACGGUACCUAAUCAGAAAGCCACGGCUAACUACGUG
rnacentral:rRNA from 1 species